UGGUAAUGAAGCAGCAGACUGGUUUGGUGUCAUCCGCUUGCGGAGCCAGACUAUGGGUUAAGUGGAAAUCGCAAGCCGAAUAGAUUCAACAAAUCGAAAGAAAACGCUUAAC
ncrna:unclassified sequences drum RNA